rnacentral:rRNA from 1 species
GUGCCAGCAGCCGCGGUAAAACGUAGGUGGCGAGCGUUAUCCGGAUUUACUGGGCGUAAAGCGUGUGCAGGCGGGGUAUCAAGUGGUGUAUGAAAUCGCUCGGCUUAACCGGGCGCGGUUAUGCCAGACUGAUACUCUGGAGUGCGGGAGAGGGGCGUGGAAUUCCGGGUGUAGUGGUGAAAUGCGUAGAGAUCCGGAGGAACCCCAGAGGCGAAGGCGGCGCCCUGGCCCGACACUGACGCUCAGACACGACAGCAUGGGGAGCGAACGGGAUUAGAUACCCGUGUAGUCC